AUGAAAUUAACUUCAUGUGAAACUAUUCAUCUCAAUCAUUAUGUUGUCCUGUCUGUCUCUCUAUCAGUCUCUCCCUCUCUCUCUCUGUCCCUGUCUCUCUGUCCAUCCCUCUUGCUCUCUGUCUCUCUCUCUGUCCGUCCCUCUCUCUCUCUGUCCGUCCCUCUCUCUCUCUCUCUGUCCGUCCCUCUCUCUCUCUCUCUGUCCGUCCCUCUCUCUCUCUCUCUGUCCGUCCCUCUCUCUCUCUGUCCGUCCCUCUCUCUCUGUCCGUCCCUCUCUCUCUGUCCGUCCGUCCCUCUCUCUCUCCGUCCCUCUCUCUCUGUCCGUCCGUCCCUCUCUCUCUGUCCGUCCCUCUCUCUCUGUCCGUCCCUCUCUCUCUGUCCGUCCGUCCCUCUCUCUCUGUCUGUCACUCUCUCUCUCCGUCCCUCUCUCUCUGUCCGUCCGUCCCUCUCUCUCUGUCCGUCCGUCCCUCUCUCUGUCCGUCUCUCUCUCUCUCCGUCCGUCUCUUUCUCCGUCCGUCCCUCUCUCUGUCCGUCCCUCUCUCUCUCUGUCCGUCCCUCUCUCUCUCUGUCCGUCCCUCUCUCUCUGUCCGUCCCUCUCUCUCUCUCUCUGUCCGUCCCUCUCUCUCUCUCUCUGUCCGCCCCUCUCUCUCUCUCUCUGUCCGUCCCUCUCUCUCUCUCUCUGUCCGUCCCUCUCUCUCUCUGUCCGUCCCUCUCUCUCUCUGUCCGUCCCUCUCUCUCUCUGUCCGUCCCUCUCUCUCUCUCUUUGUUCGUCCCUCUCUCUCUCUCUCUGUCCUUCCCUCUCUCUCUCUCUCUCUCUCUCUCUCCAGAGUUAUCAGUCUCUCUCUCUCUCUCUCUCUCCAGAGGUAUCAAUCUCUCUCUCUCUCUCUCUCUCCAGAGGUAUCAGUCUCUCUCUCUCUCCAGAGGCAUCAGUCUCUCUCUCUCCCCCUCUCUCUCUCUCUCUCUCCAGAGUUAUCACUCUUUUUCUCUCUCUCUCCAGAGUUAUCAGUCUCUCUGUCUCAAUUCAAUUCAAUUCAAUUCAAUUCAAGGGCUUUAUUGGCAUGGGAAACAUGUGUUAACAUUGCCAAAGCAAGUGAGGUAG
rnacentral:lncRNA from 1 species